GGCAAGCGUUGUCCGGAUUUAUUGGGCGUAAAGAGCGUGUAGGCGGUCAGGUAGGUCCGUUGUGAAAACUCGAGGCUCAACCUCGAGACGCCGAUGGAAACCAUCUGACUAGAGUCCGGAAGAGGAGAGUGGAAUUCCUGGUGUAGCGGUGAAAUGCGCAGAUAUCAGGAAGAACACCCGUGGCUAAGGCGGCUCUCUAGUACGGUACUGACGCUGAGACGCGAAAGCGUGGGGAGCGAACAGG
rnacentral:rRNA from 1 species